UCCAGCGUGGUAUAGUGGUUUGAGUACUGGACUGUAACUCUGGAGACCAGGGUUCAAUUCCCAGCUUGGCC